UACGUAGGGGGGCAAGCGUUGUCCGGAUUUAUUGGGCGUAAAGAGCGUGUAGGCGGCCAGACAGGGUCAGCUGUGAAAACUCGAGGCUCAACCUCGAGACGUCGGUUGAAACCGUCUGGCUAGAGUCCGGAAGAGGAGAGUGGAAUUCCCGGUGUAGCGGUGAAAUGCGCAGAUAUCGGGGAAGAACACCCGUGGCGAAAGCGGCGCACUGGGACCACAUCUGACGCUGAGGCGCGAAAGCUAGGGGAGCAAACAGG
rnacentral:rRNA from 1 species